rnacentral:rRNA from 1 species
UUAGGAAUAUUGGGCAAUGGAGGAAACUCUGACCCAGCAACGCCGCGUGAAGGAAGAAGGUUUUCGGAUUGUAAACUUCUGAUCUGUGGGAAGAAGAAAGUGACGGUACCACAGGAGAAAGCCACGGCUAACUACGUGCCAGCAGCCGCGGUAAUACGUAGGUGGCGAGCGUUGUCCGGAAUAACUGGGCGUAAAGGGUGCGUAGGUGGUCAAUUAAGUUAAAUGUGAAAGCCCAGGGCUCAACUCUGGAAUUGCAUUUAAUACUGGUUGACUAGAGUACUGGAGGGGUAAACGGAAUUUCUAGUGUAGCGGUGGAAUGCGUAGAUAUUAGGAAGAACACCGGAGGCGAAGGCGGUUUACUGGACAGCAACUGACACUGAGGCACGAAAGCGUGGGGAGCAAACAGG